CUCUGCUAGACAUCAGUCCCUUCACAGCUUCGGAGUUGCAUCGCCACUGCGUAUCAAGAGUCCAAGACAGUGCAGUCGCCAAGUAUAGUUCAAGGUCUAUCUAAGCUUGGUCUAGUUGACAGCUGAGAUAACGCUGAUAAACAGUGAGACUAGAAAGACUCUUCACUGCAAUGGCACCUCGUAUCGCUGACUCCCACCGGGCCAAGAAACAGAGCCCUCGGGGUCUGUCUGCUGCCCCCUCCUGUAGAAGGAAACUUUUCUCCGUGCUCUUAAAUAGUACUACACCUUACAGAAAGAUGCCAAAG